rnacentral:rRNA from 1 species
UUAUUGGAGAGUUUGAUCCUGGCUCAGGACGAACGCUGGCGGCGUGCUAAACACAUGCAAGUCGAGCGGUAAGGCCCUUCGGGGUACACGAGCGGCGAACGGGUGAGUAACACGUGGGUAACCUGCCCUGUACUCCGGGAUAAGCCUGGGAAACURGGUCUAAUACCGGUUACGACGUUCCAUCGCAUGGUGUGGGGUGGAAAGUUCCGGCGGUAUGGGAUGGACCCGGGCCUAUCAGCUUGUUGGUGGGGUGAUGGCCUACCAAGGCGACGACGGGUAGCCGGCCUGAGAGGGUGACCGGCCACACUGGGACUGAGACACGGCCCAGACUCCUACGGGAGGCAGCAGUGGGGAAUUAUUGCACAAUGGGCGAAAGCCUAAUGCAGCGACGCCGCGUGAGGGAUGACGGCCUUCGGGUUGUAAACCUCUUUCAGCAGGGACGAAGCGYGAGUGACGGUACCUGCAGAAGAAGCACCGGCUAACUACGUGCCAGCAGCCGCGGUAAUACGUAGGGUGCSAGCGUUGUCCGGAAUUAUUGGGCGUUAAGAGCUCGUAGGCGGUUUGUUGCGUCGGCCGUGAAAACUUCACGCUUAACGUGGAGCCUGCGGUCGAUACGGGCAGACUUGAGUUCGGCAGGGGAGACUGGAAUUCCUGGUGUUAGCGGUGAAAUCGCCAGAUAUCAGGAGGAACACCGGUGGCGAAGGCGGGUCUCUGGGCCGAUACUGACGCUGAGGAGCGAAAGCGUGGGGAGCGAACAGGAUUAGAUACCCUGGUAGUCCACGCCGUAAACGGUGGGUGCUAGGUGUGGGGGGCUUCCACGUCCUCCGUGCCGCAGCUAACGCAUUAAGCACCCCGCCUGGGGAGUACGGCCGCAAGGCUAAAAACUCAAAGGAAUUGACGGGGGCCCGCACAAGCGGCGGAGCAUGUGGAUUAAUUCGAUGCAACGCGAAGAACCUUACCUGGGCUUGACAUGCACCGGAAACCUCCAGAGAUGGGGGCCUCCUUGGACUGGUGUACAGGUGGUGCAUGGGCUGUCGUCAGCUCGUGUCGUGAGAUGUUGGGUUAAGUCCCGCAAACGAGCGCAACCCUCGUUCCAUGUUGCCAGCGCGUAAUGGCGGGGACUCAUGGGAGACUGCCGGGGUCAACUCGGAGGAAGGUGGGGAUGACGUCAAGUCAUCAUGCCCCUUAUGUCCAGGGCUUCACACAUGCUACAAUGGCCGGUACAGAGGGCUGCUAAGCCGUGAGGUGGAGCGAAUCCCAGAAAGCCGGUCUCAGUUCGGAUCGGGGUCUGCAACUCGACCCCGUGAAGUCGGAGUCGCUAGUAAUCGCAGAUCAGCAACGCUGCGGUGAAUACGUUCCCGGGCCUUGUACACACCGCCCGUCAAGUCACGAAAGUCGGUAACACCCGAAGCCCGUGGCCCAACCCGUAAGGGCGGGAGCGGUCGAAGGUGGGACUGGCGA